CAACUAAACUAAAACCAAUCUCGUUUGUGCUGCCAUCAUCGGCUCGGUCCGCAGGCGCAACAAAAUUCGCAUCGGCAUCGCAAUCUCGCUCGCAGGGAGGAGAGGGGGAGCCUCUAACCCUAACCCUACCUGCCUCUGUCGCAAUCGCCAUGGCCGCCGGCGGAGAGCCCUCCCCCCUGUCCCCUGCCAAAUACUCUCGCUUGCCCGACGACGCCCAGCCCGACGCAUCCCCGAAGCGCCGCAAGCGCCACCACCGCCACCACCACCACCACCACCACCGUCGACACCGUCACGCCGAUUCCCCGAUACCCGAGGCGGCCGACGAAGAGGUAGAGGAGGGGGAGAUACUCGACGAUGCUUCCUCCGUCUCUGCUAUGGAGGUCAAUGCCGAGUCCGCCGCCCCACAGUCUUCCCUUGCUCCGGAGCACUUUGGUAAUGGUGCUGAUAUUAACACAGAUGCAACCAAGAUGCAAGCUCCUGCUCCGCCUACCCUUCCAUCCUCAAAAGAUAGAAGGAGGUCACUUCACGGUGCCCCUGAGUCUGAAAGCGGAGGUAUCCUAUCAAGUGAUGCUGAGGAUAACAAAGGGCAUGGACGGAGGCAAAGUCAAAGUUGUUCAAAAUCUCCAAAGCCCAGAAGGGAGAAGGAAAGGAGGCACAAAGAUGGGCAUCACUCUUCAUCUUCAAAAGAUCAUUAUCCCAAAAAUCGCUCUAGAGCAUCUCCAUACUCAAGGCAUCAGAGUGAAGCUCAUUCAAGAGAUCACUUGAGAUCUGGAGAAAGAGGUGAUGAUACUAAUGGUUCUGAUCGUGAGAGCAAUGAUCAGAAUGGGAAGUCUGGCAGACAUACGACUGGGACCCAGGAGAAUGAAAGAGAAAGGAGCAGCAGCCAUGGUAUUCAUGAUAGACAUGGUGAUAGGCAUAAUGACAGACAUGGCAGCCAGGAAAGGUACAGAGACGAUAGGACAUAUAGAGACAAAAUUGAUUCGCUAGAAGCUACUUGGAAGCACAGAGAAAGAAGCAGGAGUCAUAGUAGAUCGGAUCUAAGGGAAAGUACACGUCUUCGUGAUCAAAGCCGGGAGAGUGAAAGACGGAUUGGUAGUUCAAUGCAUAGGGAUCAUGGCAGCAAGAGGGAUACAAGUAAACAUAGAGAAUCUGACAGGGUUAACAGUGCAUAUGAAAGGGAGAGAGGGAGAGAUGCUGGGGACAGGGAAUGGCACAGGGUCAAGGGAAGCGAAACUCAUAGAGCUAAGGAAGGACGGGACAAAGUUAGCGAUAGUGAUAGGUACAGGGAUUCAACACGCUCGAAAUAUAGUGUGUCUGAUGGCUACAAAGAGAGAACAAGAUCUGGGGAGAAAGGUAGAGAUGUUGACCGUAAAAACCGAAAGUUUGAAGAAAUGAAGGAAAAUUAUCUCAAGGAGGAAGAUGAAGAGAAGUACCAAGAGAAAAUAGAACAGCAGUUAGCAAUGCAGGAGGAAGAGGACCCUGAAAAAAUCAAAGAGGAAGCAAGGAGGAGGAAAGAAGCUAUCAUGGCGAAGUACAGGCAGCAGCAAUCACAGAAGCAGGAUAUGGAAGCUAAACCAAGCAGCAAUGAUGAAGAAGUAAGAGCUAUGGAUGGAAAUGUAACUAUGCAUCAGAAAGAUGAUAACGGUAGCAGUUCCACGGGCAAUGACAAAGCUGAAAAUAAGCAUGAUUCUUCAGAGGUAUUUGAUGGCAAAACCGACUUUUCUGUGGGAAAGUCUCCUGCUCAAAAUGAUACUUCAACUAGCACGGGAGCAUUCACUGAUGAGAGGACAAUAGAUGUUUCAGGUCUUGGAGAGGGUUCUCCCAAGAGUGAGAGAUCAGCAGACAUGUUUUGUGAUGACAUUUUCGGAGAAUCACCUGCGGGAGUUAGAAAAUCGGGCAAGGGUGAUGGUUUGCAUGUUGAGAGAAAUGCUCUUCAUGACAACUGGGAUGAUGCAGAUGGGUACUACACUUACCGGUUCGGAGAAUUGCUGGAUGGCCAUUACGAAAUCAUAGCAGCACAUGGGAAGGGUGUGUUCUCAAAAGUCGUGCGGGCAAAAGAUCUUAAAGCGAGUAAAGAUGAUCCUGAAGAAGUUGCUAUCAAAAUUAUUCGCAACAAGGAGACAAUGUACAAGGCUGGUAAGCAAGAGGUUUCAAUACUGGAAAAACUUGCAAGUGUGGACCGUGAGGACAAACGCCACUGCGUGCGGUUUAUUUCUAGUUUCAUGUACCGGAACCAUCUUUGCUUAGUUUUUGAAUCUCUCAAUAUGAAUCUUCGUGAGGUUUUAAAGAAAUUUGGUCGUAAUAUUGGGCUUAAACUGACUGCGGUGAGGGCAUAUUCAAAGCAGCUUUUCAUCGCCCUGAAGCACCUGAAGAACUGCAAAGUUUUGCACUGUGAUAUUAAACCUGACAAUAUGCUGGUGAAUGAGGCUAAGAAUGUGCUCAAGCUAUGUGAUUUUGGGAAUGCUAUGCUUGCUGGUAUGAAUGAAGUUACGCCUUAUCUUGUUAGCCGUUUCUAUCGGGCACCUGAGAUCAUUCUUGGGUUAGCCUAUGAUCAUCCUUUAGACAUGUGGUCAGUUGGCUGCUGUCUAUAUGAGCUUUAUACCGGUAAAGUCUUAUUUCCUGGUCCAUCAAACAAUGCCAUGCUUCGGCUUCAUAUGGAAUUGAAGGGUCCAUUCCCUAAGAAGAUGCUUCGAAAGGGUGCCUUUACUAUGCAACACUUUGAUCAAGAUCUCAAUUUUCAUGCUACCGAGGAGGAUCCUGUGACAAAAACGGCUGUGAGAAGGUUAAUUUUGAACAUUAAACCAAAGGAUGUCGGUUUUUUGAUUUUGAACUCUCCUGGCGAGGAUCCAAAAAUGCUAUCCAGUUUUAAAGAUCUUCUUGAUAAAAUGUUUAUAUUAGAUCCAGAAAAGAGGAUAACCGUAUCACAAGCACUUAGCCAUCCAUUUAUCACUGGCAAGUGACAUAAGAUGCUGAUUCCUCUUGAUAUUGAACUUAGCAUCUACACUGUAAAAUACAAUUUGGGUUUCUCUUGUCUAAUCAUCGACGUUUCUGUCUUGUGUCCUGGGAGCUCUGAGAACAAAUACAUGGAUGAAGCACGGAACUAUCGAAGAGAUGGCUAUCUGCAGACCUUGUUGCAUGCACUUAUCAUUUGGAUAUGUUCUGUUGCUUGAUUCUGCCAGGGCCUCUGCUGUGUGUACACUUUAUAUGCUUAAGCGCCAACAUUUGAAGUAUCAAUUGAAUGGUUUUGCUUUUAUGUUAUUGAGGUCCUGGGAUGGAGAUCGCUGGACCCUCCUCUCCUCAUCAUGCUUCUCAGAUAAGCUGCUUUUCCAAUAAGCAGAAGCUCUACCAAACUGCGUCCUUCAUGUGACUGAUGCGUCGUUAGCUUCAUAAACAUGAGACAAAAAAGAUCAUCUAUAUGAUGUACUUGAUUAGUACUUGUUAUUUCAACCCAUUCAUUGUCUAAUUGAAACUCUUCUAAUAUUAAGGACUAGUUUGGGAGCUAAAAUACCGGAGGGGAUUGGAGAGAUUAAAAUCCCCUUAUUUAAAAUUGAAUAAGAAAGGGAUUUUAGCCCCUCCAAUCCCCUCCGGUAUUGUGGUUCCCAAACUAGCCCUAAAGGGUUGAAAUUUAUCCCUUUCACACGCCUCUUUUUAAACAUUUCCAUAAUCUUCAUGUUAUAUUAUACAUAAACCAAAUUAUUCAAUCUUUGGUGUUCCAGUCGGUUUCGUUUCUUUGUAUGUAUAUAGAAAGUAAAUACUAGUACCGUCUUCAACAAUUUACCCAUAUGGUUAUCAAAAACACUGUCGCGGAGUGAAGUUUGAAUGAUGAUGUGGAUGAGUAAGCUGCUGGAGAUAGCCUAAUGAGUAAGCACGAACCAACUAUCAAAGAAACACAAUAACUCAAGUAUGCUUUAUUACUUACAAAUUAAAAACUACUCCAAUUAUGUUCACAGCCGAAGGUCUCAGUUAAGGCUGUCAAUAGCAUCCCACCAACCAACUGAAAUGUUUAUCUCUAUGUUAGAGAACUAGCAUGUUCAAAACUAACUAAAAUAAAUGAAUUAGAAUUUUAAAUUACUUACGAGAGUUCUUUGCCUUUUGUUGCUUUAUUGCCAAUUGCUUCCCAAAGUUUCUGCUCCUUUUGUCAUAGUCAUCUGUUUGGUUACUUAAUUUUUUCAAGCACAUCAUCAUCGGUUACCAUCAUUUCAAACAUAUCAUUCAAAGCAAUCUGGAGCCUAGAAGCAUGCUAAACAUCAUUCGUGGUGUCAGAAUGUAUUUGGAUUAAAAACAAUGGAGCCCCAUGUAGUUUUUGCUCCAUUUGAUGCAAUCACCUCGUGUCAAUGGAGCCCCAUGUCAGAAUUUAUUUGCUUCCAA